ensembl:lncRNA
AGAGAAAGGGGGAGGCAGGAAAGAAGGGGAAAGACGCUGAAGGGAGAGUCUUCCAGGAUGUGUUUGUUUAUGGGUAUCAGUUAACAGCAGCCAGAGGUUAGCCGAUCUGUAUAUUCAUGGACAUGCCGAUCUAAUCAAUGGUUUUGCUCUCAGGCAAAUCAGGUGAUACAGUGCCUAUACAGAGCCUUGCAAAAGUAUUCAUCCCCUUGAUCUUUUUCAUAUUUUGUUGCAUUACAACCUGUAAUUUAAAUGGAUUUUCAUUUGGAUUUCAUGUAAUGGACAUACACAAAAUAGUCCAAAUUGUUGAAGGGAAAAGAAAAAAAGGACCUGUUAAAAAAAAUAAAAGAACAAAUUUAACAGAAAAGUGGUGCGUGCAUAUGUAUUCACCCCCUUCGCUAUGAAGCCCCUCAAUAAGAUCUGGUGCAACCAAUUACCUUCAGAAGUCACAUAAUUAGUCAAAUAAAGUCCACCUGUGUGCAAUCUAAGUGACACAUGAUCUGUCACAUGAUCUCAGUAUAUAUUCACCUGUUCUGAAAGGCCCCAGAGUCUGCAACACCACUAAGCAAGCGGCACCAUGAAGACCAAGGAGCUCUCCAAACAGGUCAGGGACAAAGUUGUGGAGAAGUACAGAUCAGGGUUGGGUUAUAAAAAAUAUCAAAAACUUUGAGCAUCCCACGGAGCACCAUUAAAUCCAUUAUUAAAAAAUUGAAAGAAUAUGGCACAACAACAAACCUGCCAAGAGAGGGCCGCCCACCAAAACUCACAGACCAGGCAAGGAGGGCAUUAAUCAGAGACACAACAAAGAGACCAAAGAUAACCCUGAACGAGCUGCAAAACUCCACAGCGGAGAUUGGAGUAUCUGUCCAUAGGACCACUUUAAGCCGUUGUCGUGUCUUUGCCAUCAUUAAAAUGAGGACCGUUAUUUUAUCAAAUCAAUUCUCUGUGUAAUUAUUAUUAUGUGAUUAAACUAAUCAUGUAAAUGUAAUUAACUUGGAAGUCGGGGCACCAAGGAAAGUAUUCAGAUUCCAAAGUUAUCAUUUUCCUAAUUUAACUUUCAGAUAUUUUAAUAUCUGAUCAAUUAGUCUUCUAAUUAAUGAAUUAUUCUUUACCUCACGUUAGUCUCAUUCCAAACAUCGUAAAUUAUUGGUUAUCUGCAUGAACCCAGUCUUCACUACGAAUCAUCCAUACAUCAAUUGUCUCAAUCAUUUAUUUAUUAACUAACUAAAUAAUCACAGGAAUGCACACACAAACAAAGUAGAUAUGGUUACAAGGAAAUGAUAGGGGAUGUGCCCUAGUGGGCUAAACCGGCAUGGCGGCUUGAUAGACAAAAGGACUGAGAAGGGCGCGAAAGACAAAAGACACUACACAGUUGAUAAUUAUAACAAUUGAAAUGCUAAUCCUUUGCACAUGAGCGCUCACUCAUUCGGGAAUAACUGCAAUCAAUAUAUAUAUUUACGCUCAGUGUGUCGUCAUGAUCUAUGUUGGAAUCGUCCUUCUUUCUGUUGGAAGUUCAUCCGCCCAUCUCUCUGCGUCCCUGGAGUCUUUGGUUGGAAUGGUAACUUUAGAGUAACAUUCAGAAAUAUUCUAAUGAAUAGAUGUUUCGGUGGUUGUCAGUCCUCGCGUCUCAUUGGUACAUCAUUUCUAGCUGCAGACUAGUAAUUAGUAUUGAAGAUUUGCUCGUAUUCUGUCGGAAUCGAUAGUCUCAGAGAUACAACAACCAUUACAACCUUAGCUUAUACUCAGGUUUUCUGGUCUCAACUCAAACCUUAGCCCUCUCGGUAAUCAAGGUAAGCUUGGUGUGAAGGGAAAUUCCCAAUGUGGGGGUUAUAUCCAGAACAGUAAGAAAGGGCUGUCCCAUGACGCCGGAUCAAUGUCUGUGCUCAUGGGUCAGGCCUAUGACUUAGUUAAACUACAAAGGGAAUUGUAGUUUCCUUCAUUAAACAGUUUAAAAUCACAUUACAUAAUUUCACAAAUAGUUUCAUCUUUACUCAUUCAUUUUAUACAACAAUUAGAUGCAAACCCCACAACUGAGACUCUUGUAUAAACAGAGUUAUGGUAAUGUGGCUGUAUUGUCUCUCAUGAGUUUCACAAACAUUAAACAAAAUGGGCCGGUCGUAGCUGGAUUCUCCCCCGACCGUGUACACAUUCUCCAAAACAUGGACAUUGUUCAGUUCUCAGGUUCUAUGAUGGAGAAGAGGUUCCUUUGUUCUCCUGUGAAAUCUUCUCUCUAUACUGCCUGGCCAUGAGGAGAGAGACUCCUCUAGGAAUUUGUGACCUGUGAUAACAGAGCCUGGGUGUAGGGGGAAGAGAGAGGUGGUGAGAGAGAGGGGGGAUGGUUGCUCGCUAUACCCAAAGAGUGCCACGUCAUGACACCGUACACUCCACAGAGCUGGGCUUUAGGGAAGAGUAGCCGGGAAAAAAGCCAUUGCUUAAAGAAAAAAAGAAGCAAACACAAAAGGCAUGUGGGAGACUCCCCAAACAUAUGGAAGAAGGUGAUGAGACUAAAAUGUAGCUUUUUGGCCAUCAAGGAAAAUGCUAUGUCUGGUACAAACCCAACACCUCUCAUCACCCCGAGAACACCAUCGGCAGGGACUGGGAAACUGGUCAGAAUUGAAGGAAUGGUGGAUGGUGCUAAAUACAGGGAAAUUCUUGAAGGAAACCUGUUUCAGUCUUCCAGAGAUUUGAGACUGGGACGGAGGUUCACCUUCCAGCAGGACAAUGUAACUAAGCAUACUGUUAAAGCAACACUGAAGUGGUUUAAGGGGAACAUUUAAAUGUCUUGGAAUGGCCUAGUCAAAGCCCAGACCCCAAUCAAAUUGAGAAUCUGUGGUUUGACUUAAAGAUUGCUGUACACCAGCUGGAUCCCAUCCAACUUGAAGGAGCUGGAGCAGUUUUGCCUUGAAGAAUGGGCAAAAAUCCCAGUGGCUAUAUGUGCCAAGCUUAUAAAGACAUACCCCAAGAGACUUGCAGCUGUAAAAAAAUUGCUGCAAAAAAAGUGUCUCUACAAAGUUUUGACUUUGGGGAGGUGAAAAGUUAUGCACGCUCAAGUAUUUCUUGUUUGUUUCACAAUAAAACAUAUUUUUGCAUCUUCAAAGUGAUAGGCAUGUUGUGUAAAUCAAAUGAUACAAACCCACCAAAAAUCUAUUUUAAUUCCAGGUUGUAAGACAACAAAAAAGGAAAAAUGUCAUGGGGCUGAAUAGUUUCGCAAGCCACUGUAUAUGGUAACUGCCAAAAUAAUGGAAACACGUAAAUAAGGGAUACAAAGAAUAUAGGUGCUUCCACAGAGGUGUGGUUCUUAAGUUAUUGAGCAAUUAGCAUCCCAUCAUGCUUAGGGACAUGUAUAAAAAUGGCCAGUUGCCCAUUAUAUUGGGUACCAUGGCUAGAAGAAGAGAUCUCAGUGACUUCAAAAGAGGGGUCUCAAAGGAGUUUAGGGAGAUUAAAGUGUGUGUGUGUGUGUGUGUGUGUGUGUGUGUGUGUGUGUGUGUGUGUGUGUGUGUGUGUGUGUGUGUGUGUGUGUGUGUGUGUGUGUGUGUGUGUCAGUCACCAGAUCUCAACCCAAUCGACCACAGCAUUUUCAACCUCUGUCAACAAAACACCAAAAUUAAAGCGGUUCUGGUGGCUCGUAGUGGCUCAACACCUUAUUAAAAUCCAUUAUGUUGGUGUUGGUGUUUCCUUUAUUUUGACAGAUACCUGUAGAUCUCUGUGGAUUUGUGCACUGCCUGGCACUUAACUGGUGCCUUGGAACAUAGUGUAUGUGUCUGUGUGUGUGUCUUGGUUUUUCCGUGUGAAGUCAUUUGGAUAUUUCUGCUUUGAUGAACUGUAAGUCAAUGCUAUGCUCUAAUCAUUGUACUGAGAGCAUUCUACAGUAUAUAGCAUUCUAGAGCUCCUUUUUAUAUGUUUAUAGGUCUAUCUAUAGGUCUAUCUAUAGGUCUAUCUAUAGGUCUGGCUAUAGGUCUAUCUAUAGGUAUAUCUAUAGGUCUAUCUAUAGGUCUGGCUGUAGGUCUAUCUAUAGGUCUAUCUAUAGGUCUAUCUAUAGGUCUAUCUAUAGGUCUAUCUAUAGGUCUAUCUAUAGGUCUAUCUAUAGGUCUAUCUAUAGGUCUAUCUAUAGGUAUGGCAAUAGGUCUAUCUAUAGGUAUGGCUAUAGGUCUAUCUAUAGGUAUGGCUAUAGGUAUGGCAAUAGUUUCUAUCUAUAGGUAUAUCUAUAGGUAUAUAUAUAGGUCUGGCUAUAGUUUCUAUCUAUAGUUAUAUCUAUAGGUCUAUCUAUAGGUAUAUUUAGGUCUAUCUAUAGGUAUGGCUAUAGGUCUAUCUAUAGAUCUGGCUAUAGGUCUAUCUAUAGGUCUGGCUGUAGGUCUAUCUAUAGGUAUGACUAUGGGUAUAUCUAUAAAUCUGGCUAUAGGUCUAUAUAUAGGUAUAUCUAUAGGUAUGGCUAUAGGUCUAUCUAUAGGUGUGGCUAUAGGUCUAUAUAUAGGUCUAUAUAUAGGUAUAUCUAUAGGUCUGGCUAUAGGUCUAUAUAUAGGUAUGGCUAUAGGUAUGGCUAUAGAUCUAUCUAUAGGUCUGGCUAUAGGUCUAUCUAUAGGUCUGGCUAUAGGUCUAUAUAUAGGUAUAUCUAUAGGUCUGGCUAUAGGUCUAUAUAUAGGUAUAUCUAUAGGUCUAUAUAUAGGUAUAUCUAUAGGUCUGGCUAUAGGUCUAUCUAUAGGUAUAUCUAUAGGUCUGGCUAUAGGUCUAUCUAUAGGUUUAUAUAUAGGUGUGGCUAUAGGUCUAUCUAUAGGUAUAUCUAUAGGUAUAUCUAUAGGUCUGGCUAUAGGUCUGGCUAUAGGUCUAUCUAUAGGUUUAUAUAUAGGUAUAUCUAUAGGUAUAUCUAUAGGUGUGGAUAUAGGUCUAUCUAUAGGUAUGGCUGUAAGUCUAUCUAUAGGUAUAUCUAUAGGUGUUUUAGUGACUUUAACCUGAGUGGUCAGUAUCCUAGGCAACCAUGAAGUUUGUCCGGAUUGCCUUUAGAUACGGCUCUUUACGGCUCUGGUACAGCCUCCUAGGUC